rnacentral:tRNA from 1 species
GGGUCGGUGGCGUAGCUGGCUAUCGCAUCUGUCUAACACACAGAAGGUCCUCAGUUCGAACCUGGGCCGACUUA